GACGAACGCUGGCGGCGCGCCUAACACAUGCAAGUCGAGCGGGAAGCUUUUUAAGGAUUCUUCGGAUGGAAUUAAAAAAGUGGAGAGCGGCGGACGGGUGAGUAACGCGUGAGAAACCUGCCCUAUACAGGGGGAUAGCCAUUGGAAACGAUGAUUAAUACCCCAUAUGACCACAGUAUCGCAUGGAUACAGCGUGAAAACUCCGGUGGUAUAGGAUGGUCUCGCGUCUGAUUAGCUAGUGUGGGUAACGCCUACCAAGGCGACGAUCAGUAGCGGCCUGAGAGGGUGACCGGCACACUGGAACUGAGACACGGUCCAGACUCCUACGGGA
rnacentral:rRNA from 1 species